rnacentral:lncRNA from 1 species
AUGGAACCAGGGGAGCAGCGGGAGUGGAACCAAGACCCUCGCCGAAGGAGCUGGCGGGUGCGGUCGCGCCAAGCACUGCGGCCUCCCGGGGUGGGGAGGGAACAGCGACCCGGCCACACGGACGUGACCAGGAGACGAGGAAGGAAGGUGGGGAAGAGGGACAGGGAAGCAGCGCGGGGGCACCGCGAGGGGACCAGGCAGCCACCGGGCUGGGCGCCGUGGGGGCCGCCGGCCAGGCUGUCUCCAGCUGGGCACCUGCACACCGUCACCGGGGCACGGCCCACGCACCCACUCACCCACGCAGUCGGCGGGGGAGCAGGACCGCCCGGGGGCGGUGCGGGCAGCCCUGCCUGCGGCUGCUGCAAUGCGCCACCCGACCCCACCGCCGCCGGCCAGGACGCGGGAUCUGAACUGACCCCCCUCCCUCACGCUCUAGCCACCAUCUCCGCGCCGCGCCCACCGCAGCGCGCCCACGGCCGGUCGGGGAUCACUCACAUGGCCGUGCCAGACAGAACCGCCACGCACCCGGCACUGAGCUUCGCACCAACAGCCCCCCAAAACCCCGGGACCCGCACUUAUAACAGGCGGGCCCCGCCCGCGGCCCUGCGGAGGCCCCGGGUGCCCGGGCCGCGGCUGCCCGGCGCUCCCUGCGCCGCCCGGGGCCGGGGCUCGCAGUGCCCUGCUCCCGAUCCGCGGCCCUGCGGAGGCCCCGGGUGCCCGGGCCGCGGCUGCCCGGCGCUCCCUGCGCCGCCCGGGGCCGGGGCUCGCAGUGCCCUGCUCCCGAUCCGCGGCCCUGCGGAGGCCCCGGGUGCCCGGGCCGCGGCUGCCCGGCGCUCCCUGCGCCGCCCGGGGCCGGGGCUCGCAGUGCCCUGCUCCCGAUCCGCGGCCCUGCGGAGGCCCCGGGUGCCCGGGCCGCGGCUGCCCGGCGCUCCCUGCGCCGCCCGGGGCCGGGGCUCGCAGUGCCCUGCUCCCGAUCCGCGGCCCUGCGGAGGCCCCGGGUGCCCGGGCCGCGGCUGCCCGGCGCUCCCUGCGCCGCCCGGGGCCGGGGCUCGCAGUGCCCUGCUCCCGAUCCGCGGCCCUGCGGAGGCCCCGGGUGCCCGGGCCGCGGCUGCCCGGCGCUCCCUGCGCCGCCCGGGGCCGGGGCUCGCAGUGCCCUGCUCCCGAUCCGCGGCCCUGCGGAGGCCCCGGGUGCCCGGGCCGCGGCUGCCCGGCGCUCCCUGCGCCGCCCGGGGCCGGGGCUCGCAGUGCCCUGCUCCCGAUCCGCGGCCCUGCGGAGGCCCCGGGUGCCCGGGCCGCGGCUGCCCGGCGCUCCCUGCGCCGCCCGGGGCCGGGGCUCGCAGUGCCCUGCUCCCGAUCCGCGGCCCUGCGGAGGCCCCGGGUGCCCGGGCCGCGGCUGCCCGGCGCUCCCUGCGCCGCCCGGGGCCGGGGCUCGCAGUGCCCUGCUGCCGGCCCGACAGCCCUGAGCGGGUCCGCCGCGCUCCGUGCAGGUCACGCAGAGCCUGA